rnacentral:rRNA from 1 species
UACGAAGGGGGCUAGCGUUGCUCGGAAUCACUGGGCGUAAAGCGCACGUAGGCGGAUCUUUAAGUCAGGGGUGAAAUCCCAAGGCUCAACCUUGGAACUGCCUUUGAUACUGGGGAUCUCGAGUCCGGAAGAGGUUGGUGGAACUGCGAGUGUAGAGGUGAAAUUCGUAGAUAUCUGGAGGAAUACCGGUGGCGAAGGCGGCAUCCUGGACCGGCAUUGACGCUGAGGAGCGAAAGCUAGGGGAGCAAACGGG